UUAACCCCUUUCAUCCGCCUUCUCUCUCAACUCAAAAUCCUUCCCCUUCUUAUCUCUCUUGUCCCAAACAAGGUUGCCGUCUCAAAAAACCCAAUAACCCUAGCCUCCGCCGCUCCGACCACCAUUUCAAACGAUCUAGGAGGCCGAAACCUAACCCAAACAAAACUAAACACUUGAUUCUAUCUUCUAACCCUUUUAUUUUGCUUCAACCGAAACCCCCUGGAACACAACGCCGUCGUAACUGACACUUCAACCUCAACUCCGACCACCACCAACGGUGGUCGGAUCUAAACAUAACCUAACCAACCGGACCUAAACAAAAUCUAGCUUCAUCUCCCUAAUCUAAACCUUUAAAAUCGAUCCCCGAAAUGAAACCAAAGGCCUUUAAAAUGAGCCCGACUCUUAGGUUACCUCGUCUCCAGCGACGCUUUCUCUCUACUCCGGUGAAAAAGACUCAAACGAAAGUUACUGCCCUCUGCACUCUUCCAUAACCGUUUGGCAGGGGCCACAAGAAAGAGGGGACUACGAGUUGGAACAUUCGCACGUGAGAGAAGGAAGAAGCUUGCCGGAGAAGUGGCUGGGAGCUUGGGACAACUUCGGCGCGUGGCAGCGACCCUAGGUCUCAUGAAUCUAGAGAGCCAAUGCGUGGGAAGCACGCUCGGGUGCUUCUGGAACACCUGCUGGUCGCGGCUGAUGGAGGAAGAGAUUAGGGUUUUCCCAACUCACAAAUGUGUUGGGCUAACUUGGUUCAGGCCUGUUGGCUUUGAUUUACGUGGGCUAUGAGAUAAAUGUGUUUUGGGUUAAUGAUAAGUGCAAUUUGGGUAAUGGGUAGGUUAAAUGGGCUAUUAAAUGUGUAAAUGGGUUUUGUGAAUUUGGAUCGAUGGUAAUGUUAUGGUUUAAUGGUGGAUAAUGGAUUUAUGGGUCUGAAUGUAAACAAUGGGUUGUAAUGUUUAUUUUAAUGGUCUUUGUAUUCUAGACAUUUAAUGCUU